GAAAUCACCAGAGCCCUGGGGCCUGCAGGACAGUCUGCUUUGACUUAAAGGUGAGGGCCAGGUCUGGCUUGUUGAUCCUUGAUUCCUCAAUGCCUGGCAUGAUGCCUUGUGGGCAAGCAGCUCCUGUCCAGCAGCCCCUCUCCCAGGACGCCAGCUUUCACCUGGAUGCCACCACCUCUUCCCCUGCCUCUGCAGGUCAGGCCUUUCUCCCACACUGGACUGAAAACUCCUCAAAGGCAAAGAUUUGGGUUUUGGCCAUUUCUGGAUCCUGCCGUUUCUCACAGGCUGCCGGGCACAGAGGAAGCCCUUGAAUGGAUUCAUGUGAAGAAGGAAUGAAGGUUUCUCCCACAAAUGAACCCAUAGGCCAACCUUUCUAAAAUCCACCCCCUUCCGAGCUGGUGAAACCACGUCAGAAUCCCGUAGCCAGGCCCUGAAGGCUAAAAAGUACUUGACACUGAUGAUGCCGGAAGAUGACUAAGCUGCUGAUUCAAGAAAACCAACUUCCUCUUCCAAGACGGUUGCCUAAUCUAUUCUCAAGUUGUUUUGGCCAGACACAUCCUGGCCUCAUGCUUGCCUGCCACCUUUGCCUGCUUCUUCAAGGGCUGCCAGUUUCACUCAAACAGCUUUCUCGUUCUUGUACCCUUUUGUUCUGUUGCUGUCUCAGAUGUUAUCCAAAUGGUCCGUUCUAACCCCUUCACACCUGGAUCAGGAAACCCUCACCACACAAAGCCAACAUUGUGGACCACAUCCUCCCAUCCCCAAACCAGGGUACAGUCAUUUGAAACCUGGGGUGUCCCAGGAAACCUGGGAUAAAUACUCAUCCUAUCUAUAGAACCAACACUAAACCUUGAUCCGUUUUUAAUGUAAAUGGUCUUAAUAACCACAAACAUAUGGGGGAGAAAAACAGUGAGCAAAGCUUAACUGUUUUGUUGACUAAUUGACUGUAGUUUUCA